UGAAUACAAUCCGGUCAGCUUGUUUCCUAAAACUAGGUGUUUGGGCUUUUUGGAGGACUGAUGAUCUUUUUGCUGUCUUUUUUUGGUUGAGAUGAUGAACUUGUAGUCUUUGAUCACAUCUUAGACCGGGCCAUAAACUGAAAUUUACUGGUUUUGAUUGAAAUUUUUCGUCAGUUUUUUUAUCUUUGGGAGUUGAUUAUUGUCUAGUUCUAAUCCUCUCGCAGGUUGGUGUCUUGCCAGACUUGACAAGACAGUUAUUGGUUUGAAUGAAAUUUCUUUUCACUCCCAUAUUCCCGAUUAAUGCAAAAUCCGAUUCUCACUGCUUAGGAGGCCAGUGUUUGGUCGAUGUUGAUCUGUGAUGGCUCUUUCUUUGCAAGGUGUACGCGCCCCAACAGAUCACACUUGCCAAUCUGAAUCCAGUUCGUCUUAUUUUUAUUGAAGAUCGAAAGCUGGUAUCUCCUUCCUAGAGAGAUAGUCCUUUCCUCAUGUCCUCAUCCUUCAGUAUCAUCUUGCGUCUAUGAUUGUGCAUGCGUUCCUCUCUCAGUUGACAGACUCUGCAAAGUACUCUUUUGAGGAGACGUCAAUCCCAAAAUGCGCUGUCGAUCCUUCUUCUUUUCUUUUGUUUCUUGAUUGAUUGUUAAAUCAGUGUGAUUCUGUUUAUGCUAUGUUAUUUUCUGAAGGUUACGACUCACCUCUCAGGGAAUAUGCCAUGUUAUGGGGCAUCUUUAGGGUUUUCGUUCCUCUGAUCGGUGAUUGAUUCAUCAUUGAUUGAUUUUUCCAUUUAAUUGUAUUAUGAGCUGAUUCUAGUAUUCAAUAUUCCGUGAAUUGGCGGUGGCUUCUUUCUUCUUGGAGUGAUCUUUUUUUCUGAGGAUGUUGGAUGUUGUCUGAGGACAAUGAAUACAAUGCAACUGGUUAGUUGGUUACAUAGAAUACGACAUUUGGGCUUUUUGGUGGACCAAUGGUCUAUCUUGCGCUGUUUGGUUGGGUUGAUGAUCUAGAAUUCUUUGUCUUCAGGACAAGCGAUGGACUGAAAUUUUGUUGACCUUGUAGGCUUCUCUUACAGGUUGAAAGUUUUACUGGAUAUGACAGUUGGUGAUCUGUUGCAUUUUAUGUGGGGCUUAGUUGAUAAUUGUUUGAAAUUGGAUGAGCCCCUGCUUCUCGGAUUUUAUGCAGUUAUUUGUUUGAACAAAACUUGUCCUUUACUUCUGUUAUUUGUAGUUAAUUGGAAAGAUCAAAUUUAGUUCUCUUCCCUUCAUUCUCUUCUUCCCUAUCGUGGAACUGGGUUCAGGCAUUACCUAGUUUGCUUCUCCUUCUUUUUACACGACUUCUGCAUUUUCUUUUGGUACAGAACAAGAGGCCUUUCACGUUCUUUAUGUGCGAGAGGUUGUUUAAGUUGGUUGGACUCUGUCAAUGGCCAUAUAAAUGUCUACAUUGUAGGUUUCCUUUGGUUAUUGGGACUGUGAAGGCUUAUUGCUGACAGAAUUGGUUUUACUUCCGCAUACUGGAAGCAUCUUAUUUUGAAAUGAUGUACUUCAGAUAUCUAUUCCGAUUUGCAUUCUUAAUGUUUCUUAUUUUGUUUCUAUUUCUUAACGAAUGAUGAGCCAAUUACUUUCUUGGUCUAAUUUCAGAAGCAUCUGGCUUGUUGUAGAAGCUUAAUUUGUUCAGUUUCCUGUUGCCUCUUUGGGACUUUGCCAUGGUCAUGGACAUCAUUAGGGUUUACUCUCCUCCUUUGUCCAUUUAUUAAUUGAUUGGUUGGUCGAUUUAUUUAGUUGUCUUACGAGCAGAUUCUGGAUCUCUUAUUUAGUGGAUUGGGAGUAACUUCUUCUCUGAUGGACCGAUCUCUACUCCCGAGGAAGUCGUCUAAAAGAACAGUAAAUAUGAUGAGUUUAGUCAAUUGUUGCAUAGAAUAAGCGUUAGAGCUUUUUUUUUGGGACUGACGAUUUAUUAGCAGUAUAAUGUUGGGUUGGUGGACUAGGAGUACCGGGUGAUGAACUGCAACUUUAAUAAUUUCCUGCAUGGACACUUAUGUUUCUUUUUUAAAAUUCAUUCUUUCAUUAGUUAUCUUUGGGUAGUGGCAAGAAUUGAAAUGAUAAUUGUCUAGUUCUAAUUGCUUUAGGUUGAAGGUUUACUGAAUUUGAGAAGUGCUGAUCCAUUGCCUUUUCUGCAAGGCUGAGAGGAUGAAUUGUGGACCGGGUAUUGUUUGAAAUUGGAUAAGCUUUGAUUUAUUGGAUUCUGGGCAGUUAACGGUUCCAAUAUUAUUGACUCUAGUUCCUUUAUUUUUUAUUUAAGCAAGAGGAUCACCAUUCAGUUCUGUUUCUUUUGUAGGUCAGAAAUUGGCUAAAGCAAAGGCUUUACCUCUAACUUCAAUAUGGAGUGUUCUUUAAUCUAUAUAUGUCUUACCUUUAUGAUUGAUGGAACUAUCCUGCCUGUUAUUUAUCACAGACUUUUUCCUUUCAACGUCCUUUGUCGCACAUUCAUUUGGAAAUACGUUUCUUGCAUAUGCAUUUGUUUGACUUGGUGUUAAUGUCUGCUUGAAUUUUGUGUCAAUAUGUUAAAUUUGGUUUAUUUGAAGAAUUUUUUGUCAGGUUUCUUUUGUGUUUAUACUAGAUGAGAUUGAUGUUGUCUGGAUGGUAAUUUCUGACGCCGGAGAUGUUAUUUUGGUGUGACCUAUUGCCCCUUUUUUCUCUAUGUUAUUUGGAACUUGCAGGAUAGGUUCUUUUCCAAAAAAAAGCACUUGUUUUUCAACACUUUUUUUUGCGGUAAUAUUUACCUUUUGUCAAAUCUUUAUCAAAUGUAUAGUAUGUAGGGUUUUCACUUAUAAAGCGAUGUUGUUGGAUGGUUCAUCAAUAGAUUGAUCUUUCCAUUAAAUUGUUUAACAGAAAUAGUAUGUAGUGUUGGAUGAUUCUGGAUUUCGGUGGAUUGGCAGUUGCAUCUUUCCUCUUGGAGCGAUCUCUUCAUGAGCAUGUCGUCUAAGGAUGAUAAAUACAUAGAAGCUGGUCAGUUUCCAUAGAAUAAGGUGCUUGAGCUUCUUGGAGGAGUGGUAAUCUAUUAUGCAGUCAUUUUUGUGCUUGAGUUCUGAAGUCGUCUUUGAUCACAUCUUCAGGACGGGCAAUGGUCUGAAAUUUUGAAGAUUUCUAGGCAUUUUGUAGUUUUGAAUUAAGUUUGUCUUCAGUUGAUUAUCUUCGGGGAGCAGUGAGAUAAUUAUUGUUGAGUUCUAAUUCCUCUACAGGUUGAAGUUUUUCCCGGUUUGAGAAGGGGUGAUCUAUUGCGUUCUUCUGCGGGUUUGAGUUGAUAACUGUUUGAAAUUGGACAAGCAGCUGCUUAAUGGAUUCUAGGCAGUAAUUGGUUUGAAUGAAGUUGGUUUUCCCCUUCUGCUUUUUUCCAGUUUUGGUGAGAUGACUAGGGCCUAGUUCUCUUUCCUUCGAUGCAAAUCUCUUCUGGUUCGAUUUUGACCGUCUUCAAUCUGUGAUGGUUCUUUCUAGAUUUCAUUUAACAAGCUCUUCUUUCUUUGAGCUUCUAUUGGCUUUUGUUGUAUUUGGAAGAUGAAUAAUCAUUGACUAUCUUCCAUUGUGGGGAUUGUUUAUGAGUCUGGAAAGCUUGAGGUCCACCAAGUUCUGGCUUGUUUCUCUUUGUUCUUGUAAUGCAUGCUGCAAUCACGAAAUUGAUUCCUGGUAAAUCAUGCACAUAUUACAUGUGUAAUUUAUUCAUCUUGACUUUUUGUCCCCAUAUACUAGCUUUACACAAUUUAGAUAGCUUAGGCUUUCAUUCUAUACGAUGGAUGUGUUUUCUUUUGAUACAGAACCUUUGGUGGAACUUUUUUAUUUGUCAGGUGAUUUCUAUGCUUUAGGUGGUUGUUAAGGAGUGUUCAUGGACAUUAUUAGUGUUCACGCACCUCCUUUGAUCAUUUAUUGAUGGAUUGAUCCAUCCUUCUGUUGUUUUAGAGCUGUUUCUGGAUUUAUAAUCCUGUGGAUUGGCAGUAGCUUCCUUUCUCACGGAGAAAUCUCUUUGAUUGUGGAUGUUGUCUAAGGAAUGGUGCAUAUGAUGAGGUUGGUCAAUUAUUACUUAUAAUAAUGCGUUCGACGAUCUAUUCACUUCUAUCUUUGGUUGGGUUGGUGGAUGGGCAGUGUCCUUGAUCAUCUUCAGGACCGGGUGAAGAACUGAAAAUUUGAUAAACUUCUGCAGCGUAGGCACUUGGCCAAGUUGAUGAAUUGUGGAGGCCGGGCUUUGUUUGAAAUUGGAUAAGCUCCCAUUUCUUGGAUUUUGGUUCUUUUCAUGUGCUCACUCUCGAUAUGUAUAUGGAUCAAUCCCUAUAAAAUUGAUAUUUUGGCCGUGCUUUUAUGAUAGGGUGUGUGAGAUCUAGCUUGAUUAUGCUUUGAGGGCUUGAAGUUCGAUGUAAGAUCUCUGAUUGUCAUUGGAUGGCUUCUCUGUUGGACUUACUUGCAAAAAGAGUAUGCUAAGUCUCUUUAGGUGCAAUAAGAUAUCUGUAUGGGUUUGCUUAGCCUAUAUUCCGCUGCUGUGAUACUUUCUUCUGGUACAGUAACAUUGUUGGGGACAUUUUACAAAUGAGGUGUUUUGUAGGUGAGCUGGGUUGUUUUUAGUUUGUAGUGCCACCUUGAGGGCCUAAUUUCUGAAUAUUUUAGGUUAUUGUUUAUCGAUGGGACUAUGAAGACUUUUCUACC